rnacentral:rRNA from 1 species
GACGAACGCUGGCGGCGUGCUUAACACAUGCAAGUCGAACGCUGAACCACUUUCGGGUGGGGAGUGAGUGGCGAACGGGUGAGUAACACGUGGGUAAGUCUGCCCUCGCACUCUGGGAGUAAGCCUUGGAAACGAAGGUCUAAUACCGGAUAUCACAACGCUUCGCAUGAGGUGUUGUUGAAAGUUCUGGCGGUGCAGGAUGAACCCGCGGCCUAUCAGCUUGUUGGUGGGGUAAGUGGCCUACCAAGGCGACGACGGGUAGCCGGCCUGAGAGGGUGACCGGCCACACUGGGACUGAGACACGGCCCAGACUCCUACGGGAGGCAGCAGUGGGGAA